UCCGUAGGUGGCAAUCGUUACUCGGAAUCACUAGGCGUAAAGCGCAGGUAGGAGGUUUGAUAAGUCUGUUGUGAAAGCUCCCGGCUUAACUGGGAGAGGUCAACGGAAACUGUCAGGCUGGAGUGCGGUAGAGGUAGCUGGAAUUCCCGGUGUAGUGGUGAAAUGCGUAGAUAUCGGGAGGAAUACCUAUGGCGAAAGCAGGCUACUGGACCGUCACUGACUCUGAUCUGCGAAAGCUAGGGGAGAAAACAGG
rnacentral:rRNA from 1 species